GGCCCGGGCCCGCUGGGCGAGUUCCUGCCGCCCCCCGAGUGUCCGGUGUUCGAGCCCAGCUGGGAGGAGUUCGCGGACCCCUUCGCCUUCAUCCACAAGAUCCGCCCGAUCGCCGAGCAGACCGGGAUCUGCAAGGUGCGGCCGCCGCCGAUUUAUUUAUUGAUUGAUUGAUUGUUACAAGCACUGGGUGUAUAGUCAGAAGCGUGGGAGGACGAGAGAAUUCACCAGAGCCAGAGCGGGGAGCAGAGCAGGCAGAAGGACCGAAGGACACUGCUGAGGGGAGCAGCGGGCGGCAGGAGAGGUCUGCGCGCCAUGUGGGACCCUCCUCCGGUGGCUGGGGAGCAGCCGGGGAUCGAACCAGCGCCGCAAAGGCUGCGGGCAGCUUCGCAACCCAGCGCUCAACCGCUGCGCCACCGGGGAGGCCCCAUUUACUUGUAUAUUCUGACAUAUUUUCUUUGAUAAGUUUUUGUCUAAUCUUCCAGGCUCAAACUCAUGUAAAAUUGAAUUUCUUGGACCAGAUUGUGAAAUAUUGGGAAUUACAGGGAAGUACUCUGAAAAUUCCACAUGUGGAGAGGAAGAUCUUGGACUUGCUUCAGCUUAAUAAGACAAGAAAAGUUCUGGAAAGAGAUAAUUGACUCAGCAAAAAGAUGAAGUGAUAAUUCAGUACUUUAACUUCAGUUUCACUUAACUGUAAAGCCUCCAUUCUUUCCACCGACAUGCUGCCAUUCUGUCUACUCUCGAGAUUUUCUGGAGAUUUUUGAGAUCACUGAGAAGGACCAGUUGGUUGCAGAAGAAGGUGGCUUUGCAGUUGUUUGCAAGGAUAGAAAAUGGACAAAGAUUGCCACCAAGAUGGACUUUGCUCCUGGCAAAGCCCUUGGCUCACAUAUUAGAGGGCAUUAUAAGCGAAUCCUCAAUCCCUACAACUUAUUCCUGCCUGGAAACAGUUUAAGGUGGCCGGAACCUCUCUGUCCGGGAGGGCCAGGCAGGGUGCAGACAGACAGAGCCUGCUGGGAGCGCCACUGCCUGGAGCACAACGUCCAGCCCGGUGGGCCUGCUCAGCAACGGAGGCAGAGAGCAGCAGUGCCUGCAUCAGCAUCUUCACCAUGAGACCAGGGCUGUCAGGCUCGGGCCUUGCAUGGUGGCCUGGACAGUGUCACAGGUGAGCGAGUUUGGGCAGGUUCCCCUGCCCCAGCCCAUCCAUUUUCCUAGUGCCAUGUCAGGGGAGCUGUACUUGGAAAAGAGUGGAUUUAGGGUCUGGUCUAGACGGUCCUCAGGAGGGCUCCUCAGGGCUUCCUGUGCUGAGAGAGCCUAGAAACUGUCAGGUGUUCCAUGGGGUCAGACCUGGCAGGAAGACUGCAGAGGACAGUGGUUUACAAGCAGGAACUUUUCUAUACCCUGAGACUUUGGAAGUUCCCGUUGCCUGAGGGACUCCAGAACAUUCACAGUGGGCCCUGUUCACCCGCAGGCAUAACAGGCCCCGUAAUAGGAUGUGGGCCUGUGUGAACUAGGCUGGUGCUGGCUCCCAGCAUGCUCCUUCCUCCUUUCUGCAUGUGAACCCCUCAGUUUCCUCUUCCUGAAAAUCCUGCGGUCCCCUCCACCUUAAUGACGUUGUAGAUGUUAAUCUUUCUCUACAUUACUGUGUAUUCUUCUCCCUAUCCAGAGUCCAGUGAGACUCCCCUGGCGCCCCUCCAGUUCCUCACCAAGCAGAAUGAAGUGGCUGUGGACCUUUAUUUUUUUAAGACUGAUUGAUUUAUGCAUACAAGAGCUGGGUACAGCCAGAGGUGGGGGGCGGGGGGGGAAGGGUAGUGAGAGGAUUCACCAGAGCCAGAGCGGGGAGCAGAACAGGCAGACUGACUGAAAUACACUGCUGAGGGGAGCAGCGGGCGAGACAGGAGAGGUCUGGUACGCCAUGUGGGUCACAUUCCUGGCCGGGGAUCGAACUCGUACUGCAGUAGCUGCAGAUAGCUUCAUAGUGCUAACGCUUAACCCCAGCUGUGGACCUUGAAAUAGGGCUUCAAAUCCCCCCAGACGGGCCCAGAUGGGACUGGCCUAAAAGUGACCCUGGAGUGUCCUGUGCUCCUCUCGGCCAGUUGUGCGGUUAUGCACCCAGAGUUGGGGAGGCUCAGCAUGUAGGUCCCUGUGGGGCUAAGACCAGUUUUUCAUCUUUGCAUGCUUUCUUUCUCCUGAAGAUGAGGCAAGAACUGGUGCUUCAACAGCUCCCACCCUGGGCAGCUGACACCUGGCACCAGAGAUGCAGCCAACCGCUGUGCCCCAGACACCACUCUGUGGGUAGGGAGGGCAACCCCUGAUGCGGGAGCCAUCGAUCACAGGGGAGAGGGCCACGUGCCCUGGGACCUCCUGAGGUCAGCGCAUCCUUAGCCACCCCCCACCCCUUGGGAGACUGAAUCUGGCUGGAGGAAAGAGGACCCCGGGCCCAUGGCAGUGACUGGGGCUCUCUGGCCCGCAGUUCCUGGGCUUCUCUGGGCGCUCCACUUCCCUGGGCAGUGGGGUAUUGAGCGUUGAUCUCGCUGAACAGCCGGAAUCUGCCCUGCUGUGCCCUGAGUUUUGGACUCAGGUUCCUGCCCCCUUGUUCUGAUGCAAGUUGCCUUUGAACUUGCUCCAGCUCUGGCCCAGCAGGUAGGAGGAAGCUGCCUCAGCAGCUCAGCCUCUUCUAGACGCCAAGGAGAACCCCCAGCUGGGAGAGGCUUCUGCUUAGCUCGUAUCCACUUCCCAGGUGACCCCUUCCUUGCCUGAGGCCUGGGAACAGGGGAUGGUGGGGUUUGGGGGGGGAGUGGGAGGAGGCCCUCUGGGAGCCAGGGCUUUGGUACUGGUCCAUCGGAGGCAUGGUCCCAACCUCCUCCCUGCUGUCUGUAGAGACUGAGGAUUGCAAGUGACCUGAGAGUGCAUUCUGUGCCAGAAUGAAGCGAAGCUCUUGGGCUUAGGCCUUUUUUAAAAGGAGGGUAUUUGCACACCCAUGUGUCUGGUGUAGAUGGACACUUUAUGGUCCAAGGAGCAGUAGUGGCCACGGGUACAUGUUAAACCUACAGAACCCUGGGUUCCAUGCUCAGGUGGCCUGGAAACCCGUAUAUUCAGGAAGACGGUGUUACCUCACUCUCCUACAACUAGGUGGCAAAGCACAAAGCAAGAGGGCCCAGCUUUUUGUGACCUUGAUUAUGUCUCCACUGUGCCUCACCCUGGGUACACCCCUCGGCACAUGUAGCGCGGCCUCUCUGGGUCAUCACGGACACUUGUCGGGCUUUCUUUCUCACCUGUAUGCCGCUGAAGCGAAAGGACAUGGGGGAAAUGUCCCAGGCGAUGGAACUUGCCUGAUUGGUGUGACGACUAAAUAAAUAUGUACACUUGUGAUGUCAAGUCAUUGGCUAUUGAGUAAAAUGUGUACAGUUAAGUAUAAACUAUGCCUCAAUGUUUUUUGAAACACUGAUGUGAAGAUGGUUGUGGUUAUACAAAACAUAAAACAAAGACAGAGGCAAUUAUAAAUCAGAGACAUCUGCAGGGGAGGAGGAGGGAGAGGGAUCAGAGGGAUGGAGAGAGGAGCACAGGGGACUGAGGUGAUGGUGCACAGGUGCCUUGGGGAAGGAAACUCUAUGGGGACCACACCUGGGUAGUGGGGGGGGGGAAGCAAACAUUGUUUAAAAAUGAAGAAUGAUGUAAAAAAUACAUAAAUAAAAAGAAAAUUUUAAAAAAUUAUAUUACCCCCCAAAAAAAUACGGUUGUGGUUAAGUCGCAAGAGCACUCCAUGGAAAAAGGGUCUUUCAGGAUAAGAGGACAAUGGGGGCAGGGGAAGGCCACCUGUGACCUUAACACAGUUACCUGGUCCUGUAGACAAAGCAGAGCGAGUGUCUUCAGGCCUUCCUGAGCUUCAACAGCUGUGGGGUGGAUCUGACCAGGCUUCACCUCCAGCUUCAUGGAGUGGCUUUCUGUGCACUAUAACAAGAAGCUCAAGUUGCAGUUUGUUCUCGCCCCAGGCCCCUGAGCGUACACAUCAAUUGUAGAGCCAACAACUCGACUAACCUGCCACCCUAGAGCAUGAGAGUUGCAAACUGACUUGGGCAUUGAAGACUUCUUUGAUCUGUGUUACUGCACCUGGUCAUGAGCAGCCUCAGUCCACCAGCCUCGGCAGAGCCUCAGCCAGAUGGUUUUCUACCACUGCCCACCUGUAUUUCCAUGGCGUGCUCAACGUGGACACUUGGAGUCUAGGCCAAGCCGAUUCCCUGUGGACAAGUCUACUUCUCCCUGGUGAGCUGUUCACCUACCACCAGCAUGCUGUAGCCACUCAGUCUGCCCCCCCACCCUGGGGAAGGGAGUGUUUUGGAAGCCAGAAGGGCCCACCAUCCAGAUAGGGGCAAGGCGUGGGUCAGAAGGUCUGUGAUUACAGCCUCUUCCUUUUGAAGUGAUGAGGCGGCCUCACUUUCUGCCCCAACCUGUUAUCAGUUCAUAUUCCCACAGGGCACUGGGCAUACGACCUGGUUGAUGUUUUAUGGGUUUUGUUCCAGGCAGAGUCUUGGAAGAUGAAAGGUGGCAGGUCGGCAUAUAGGAAUCCCAUACAGGUUCCCCGCCCUGUUACAAGGCGGCGGACGAGCCCACAGAGGGAAGGAGGCGGGUUCUCCGGGUCAUAAAGAUAAUAAUAACUGCUUGCUGGGAUUAAAGACUCGUCCUGUGGCUGAGACCUAGACUCAAAGGUAGGAUGUCGGGAGGCUGACUCUCUUUUCAGCUCCAUGUGAAGAAACACGCAUGCAUGGAGCAGGCUGCCUGUCAAGCAGCUGCCUCAAGAGCUUAAGGGGAAGUGGAGCCUUCAUGUAUCUGGAAUGCUGACUGUGAAAUGUGUUCACACAUGCUAACUAGACCUGUGUCUCAAGCAGGUCAGGUUAUAUCCAGUCGGAGAUCCCCACAGUGUUUGAAACUUUUUUAAACUAUUCAUUUCCUAAUCUAGAAAAAACUGGGAGGCUGCAGAACCAGACUGUAGUUCAACAUCUGCUUCUUCUGUUUUUCCUUUGAUGAUCCAUUUAAAACCUCCAGUCCAGUGUGCUAGCAAAAUGAGUAGUCUCCAAGUAACAAUACUCAGUAGUUUUCCAUGGUCUGUUAUGAACAUCAAGGUGGAAUCAAAGGCAAGAGAUUGGUUUUUUUGUCUCUUAAUGAAAACUGUCCAUACUUUUUCUUGAUUGUGACUUCGAAGGGACCAGUCUCAGUGUCCCACGUGCAUGAUUUUUAUGUGCCUUGUGGUAUUGAACUUGCUCCUCUAUCCCCUUGUUUCUUAGCAGUUGGCAAAUGCCAACCACCAGGAACUGUCCUUCCCCACAGGGCAGUCCUUGUGCAAACUCUUCUGGGGGCCCAGAACUAGGCAUUUACCCUGUGACUCUGCUUUUUAGGUUCUCAUCAACUGCCAGCACCCACAGUGGGGCCUGGGGGAGACCUGGCCAAGGUGCAGCAUGCUGUCUACAUGCUCAGAACCUCCAGAGCCAGGGCUACUGAGGCCUGGGACCGCCUCAGCCACAGUGUGACCUGUUUGCCAAGUGGCAUUUGUGUGCUGGCAUCUGAGCGAAGACAUGGAGCCAUGGGGUUUCUCUGAGCCCUAGAAGACCUGGUUGCCAUGGAGAGGGAGUAUGAAGAAGUAGCAAAGACUGACAGUGGCGUGGAUGGAUGUGAGGGGUUCUGGGGUCCUAGCAUGUACAAUGUCCCGUCUCCCCAGUUUUGUGUGUCUCAUUUCUCUGUAUCCCUUUAACAAAUACAAUUGGUGUUGCACGUGGUACGGAACUGUGUGAUGUGAAUCCUGCCCAGGCAGUGGCCUUGUCUUCCCUCCUAAGCCCUGACCCUCCUUGUAAGUGCAGGGGCAGGCUGGGCUUGCCUGUCUCAGCUGCAGACCGCCCUGACCAGUGUGCACGGUCUGUGGCCUUGGCCGUGGUGCUUUGACUUCACGGUGCUGCCUUUGCCUGCCUUCACCCAGCCCAGCUCAGGAAGGAUAAACCUUGAGCUUCUGGUGAGAUGUGUCCCCUCAUUCUGGGACACAAAGCCCAUCUCAAUUUCAGUGCCAAGAGGGAAUCCAGCCUUUUUCCCUUCCUCCCUCCUCAUGGCCAGUAGAGGGCGGUGGGGGUUGAAUUCCCAGGCCUCCCUGCAGCCUCCAUCUUAUUUAGGGCUGCAGCUGAUACCUCACACAGAAGGAACAGAAAGGGUCAAGAACAGGGACUCCGCUGGACAGGAGUCUAGUCUGGGGCCGUGUAGUUCUGAAAGAACUUUCAAAGGUGCCUGUGACCUUCAAGGCAAGAUCCUCAAGUUGGUCUUUCUUUCCUCAAAUUGGGUUGGGUAAAGGGAUAAAAAAGUGAUGAGGAAAAGAACUUCAAGGUUCCAACCAUUUGUGGUCAAUGUGUAAUCUUAGAGAUCAGUCAGUAAAAGUAGCUCAGGUUAAACUGAAGGGUGUCCUUUAGCACAAACCAAGUUAAAAGAAGCUUCUCUUGGACCAGACUUUGCCUAUGGACUGGCCGUACCUGCUUUGACAUUCAGUUCUAGCCUAUGACUCAGGAUGCCUCUGGUUUAUUCAAGCACCAAGGAGCCUUGUACUGAUGGAAAUGUCACCAGUGGCCUUGUUUUCAGUUCUGAUGCUAGAUGCUAAACAGCUCAUCCCCACCUUCUGAGGAUGGAGUGAAAGAAGGCCAGGGCAUGUGAUAUGGUUUUGGUCCUGAAUUCUGCCAUCAGGUACUAGCAUCAUGGCAGAGGCAGUGGGCAUUGGUCCAGAUACACUUGUAAGUGGGCAGUUGGAAUUUCUGGCUUCUUGUUUUUACUUAGAUAGAAAGUUCAUCUUUUAUCCACUUAGGUGACUGACAAGAAAGGAGUAAGAAUCUGCAAGACCUUGGCUCUCCUGGAGAAUGAAAAGAAGCAUCUAAUGAGUCCGAGCCCAGCCAGCAUCCUGGAGGGCCCACUGAGGCUGCUGUAGUCAGUUCUCUGAGUCAGCACCUAUUGCCCCUGCUCUGAGCAGCAGGAGCCCUAGGAUCCUCCAGGUGCCACCACCCAGGGGUCCCCCACCCACAUAUGGGACUUGAAACCCACUUGCCACCUGAGUCCCACCCUAGGGCAGAACAGAGGAAGAGGAAGCUGUGAAGGGGUCGUGGCACAUGGUGACGUAGAUGCGGAGACACAAACGAACCAUGACCCGGGCAGGCAGUGUCCAAGGGGCUGAUGGCUGAAUGGAUUUUUGUGGGCUGGCCAGGAGUGGACCGGGCAGAAAUAAGGGGGCAGUGGAUGCUUUCCAGCGCCGGGGUGAAGGUGCAGCAGGGUGGCCAGAACCAGGUGAAAGCUCCCCAGAAGGGGGCCAUGUGCUCAUGGCCUAGGGUCUCCUGGCCCAAGGACAGGUUCCCUGCAGAGGGAAAGGACUGGUCUCUCUAGCACAUGAGCCUUUGCGGGCAGAGCCUAUGUUUAGAUGACCUCCACAUUGCGCCGCCCCCAGUCACACUCAGAAUCCCAGUAAGCUUGAGGGCCCGGGGUUUGAGGUCUUGAACUGCUGAAUGCGGAGUUAAGGGCAGAGAGAGACAGUGACCCCCUAAGACCUUUGGAAGCCAGUAGUUACGGUUCAGGUUCGAGUGAUAGCUACAAAUGCCAGUGGUCACCCAUGUCCCCUGCGCCUCCCUCCCCACAUCUCAGUGAGGCUGGCUGGCUCCGUCUUACUGCACAGGGAGAAGAGAAAGUUGAAAACAAAUUGGUGACCGACGCUGAACCAGUCCUUACCCUUUCUGGGACAUGCUGACCACCCCGAGGAGCAGGUGGGAGGCUGUUGAUUCGGACUCAAGCCUGGACGUGAGCACCUUCCCAGAACAACCUAACCAGAUUCAGCUGAGGUCCAGAAGGAAUAGGUCUGGCCAGGAGUGGACCGGGCAGAAAUAAGGGGGCAAUGGAUGCUUUCCAGUGCCGGGGUGAAGGUGCAGCAGGGUGGCCAGAACCAGGGGAAGGAAGGUCCUCAGCCACAGGGGCGGGGAGAGGCCUGCAGGGAGCACAUGCUUCCUGUCUCGUCUCACCCCAGUCUGCAGCCUUAGGGGAAGGAAACAAGACAGUGGAGAAGCCUGGGAAGAUAAUGAACCCUUUCUCAUAUUGAGAGUCAAGUAAUCUCUCCUCUGGACACUCCUCUGUAACCUGGGAAACAUCUAGAUCUCCAGUCAAGGACCUGCCCUGUGUCUCUGGGUCAGGCAGUGAACCCAAGGAACUCAAGAUACAUGAAGGGUUGUGGAUGUCUCCCCCAGUCCAUCUUGUUACAUCUGUUUCUUUCCAUAAAGCUCAUCAGGCUGUCCUGUUGGGAUUCUUGGUGGUGAGGCUUACCUCUUGUAGUAUGGCCUUUCAGGCUAUCAGAAAUGGAGCAGGCAAGUUCCAUGUAGGUUGCAUGUAGCAGCAAUUUAAAAAAGAAGGUGCAGGGCCUCCCUGGUGGCACAAGCUGUUGAGCGCAGCGCUGUGAAGCUGUCUGCAGCCUCUGCAGCGCGAGUUCAAUCCCAGCAGGCCAGGCACAUGGUGCAGCAGACCUCUCCUUUCUCACCCGCUGCUCCCCUCAGCAGUGUAUUUCGGUAGAUCUGCCUGUUCUGCUCCCCACUCUGUCUCUGGUGAGGCCUCUCACCGCCCCCACACCACCCGCACACCUCUGGCCUGUCCUCCAGUUCUUGUAUGCAUAA